GAGAGUCAACGGGAUUGCCCUAGUAACGGCGAGUGAAGCGGCAACAGCUCAAAUUUGAAAUCUGGCUCUUUCAGAGUCCGAGUUGUAAUUUGCAGAGGGCGCUUUGGUGUUGGCAGCGGUCCAAGUUCCUUGGAACAGGACGUCACAGAGGGUGAGAAUCCCGUACGUGGUCGCUAGCCUUCGCCGUGUAAAGCCCCUUCGACGAGUCGAGUUGUUUGGGAAUGCAGCUCUAAAUGGGAGGUAAAUUUCUUCUAAAGCUAAAUACUGGCCAGAGACCGAUAGCGCACAAGUAGAGUGAUCGAAAGAUGAAAAGCACUUUGGAAAGAGAGUCAAAUAGCACGUGAAAUUGUUGAAAGGGAAGCGCUUGCAGCCAGACUUGCCUGUAGUUGCUUAUCCGGACUUUUGUCCGGUGCACUCUUCUGCGGGCAGGCCAGCAUCAGUUUGGGCGGUUGGAUAAAGGUCUCUGUCAUGUACCUCUCUUCGGGGAGAACUUAUAGGGGAGACGACAUGCAACCAGCCUGGACUGAGGUCCGCGCAUCUGCUAGGAUGCUGGCGUAAUGGCUGUAAGCGGCCCGUCUUGAAACACGGACCAAGGAGUCUAACAUCUAUGCGAGUGUUUGGGUGUCAAGCCCAGACGCGUAAUGAAAGUGAACGGAGGUGGGAACCCUUUGGGUGCACCAUCGACCGAUCCUGAUGUCUUCGGAUGGAUUUGAGUAAGAGCAUGGCUGUUGGGACCCGAAAGAUGGUGAACUAUGCUUGAAUAGGGUGAAGCCAGAGGAAACUCUGGUGGAGGCUCGCAGCGGUUCUGACGUGCAAAUCGAUCGUCAAAUUUGGGCAUAGGGGCGAAAGACUAAUCGAACAUCCAGC
rnacentral:rRNA from 1 species